ensembl:snoRNA
UAGCAAGACUCCAGUGUGCUUGGGUCUGCAGUGACUCUAUGCAUUCCUACAGUUCUUGCCAGAACAGGGCUGAAACGGGUUGAGACCUUGCCCUGCCCUAUUGAGAGCAAGGUCAUAGAAAAAACAAAG